rnacentral:rRNA from 1 species
CCCUUAGAUGUUCGGGGCCGCACGCGCGCUACACUGAAGGACUCAGCGUGUCUCUCCCCCUAUCCCGAAAGGGAUGGGCAACCCGUUGAACCUCCUUCGUGCUAGGGAUUGGGGUUUGCAAUUAUCCCCCAUGAACGAGGAAUUCCCAGUAAGCGCGAGUCAUCAGCUCGCGUUGAUUACGUCCCUGCCCUUUGUACACACCGCCCGUCGCUCCUACCGAUCGAAGAGUUAGGUGAAUUGUUUUGAUCGAUAAGAUUUGACUAUGGUCAACUCUCGUUGGGAAAUUCUGUGAAUCUGACUGUUUAGAGGAAGGAAAAGUCGUAACA